GUCGUCAUCGACUCAUUUCCGAACAAGAAAUAUAACAAUAUCGCGAAUUAAGGAAAAUAUCAAACAGAAGAAGAUACGAACGUGUCCAGUGCACAAAUACAUCGACCUAUUCAUUCAUAUUAGCACGAGCCAAACAUCACACACAUAGCCUACUAAAACAUAGCACCUGCAUUUCGACC